CCCCAGUCUCUACGGGGUUAGUCUGAGCCAAGUAGAUGGCGGCAGCUGCAUGUCCAUUAGACAGGGAAAGGUCAUUGUUCAUUGGGUCCAGGAAGACAGGACUGAUGACACAUGGAGAAGGGGACUUCAAAGAACCCCUGGAAAGGAUGAGAUUAAAAAUUCAGAGAAGUUGUGCUGUCCUGGGUUCUGCGGCAGAGAACCCUGCAUCUAUAACUCAGCUCUGCCCGGACGUGCUGUGUGGCUUUGGACAGGUUUGAUGCCUCUCUGAGCCCAUUAAUAAAACAGAGAUGGUCAUCUUCGCUCCCGGCACUGGGAGAAGACAGACUGACUGAGUGCAAGGCCCCCUCCUCCAAGGACCCAUGACCCUGUCCCCUGUGCCUGGCUUUCUUGCUGCAGGAUGAGGUGGAUCCCCGGAGGCUGAGCCUGCCUGGUGAACCAGAUGCCAACAGCCAGACCACCAUCCCCUGGCGCUGAUCUGUGGUGGCUGCUGUUCUUCUGUGGCUUCCGCAUCAAUGUCAUCAGCAGGGACGUUAACGUGAUGUCCGAGGGGACGGCCAAGUGCCCGGCACCGUGCACGAGGGAGUCUCACCCCCCUUUCAAUGGCGUGUCCUGGCUGGGCCACCGGCUGACCCACCCCAAUUAGGUGGCUCUUGUGUUAAUAUUGACACACAAAGAAGCCAGCUGGCGACCUCUGACCCGGCCUCACUUGGGAUCACAGGCUCAUUUUGGCCCCAGCCUCAGCCCUGAGAGCCGGACGCGUAAUCUCCUUUGACACCAGAAGCGGCCUGCCUCCCCCUGACCUCUGCUCCCUGCCUCCUGGAUUUCCGCCUUCCCUGGGCCUGAGGGAUGUCAUGUGGCCUGCGUGUGGACACAGCCUGGACCCGGGGCGGGGUGGUCGAGAGCGGUCGGGAUGGGCCAGGCCAGGCAGCCGGCUUCUGAGGGAGGAGGGCUCACAGUGGACGCCCAGGAGGGAGCCGGGCUGGGAUAGGCAGGAAGUGGGGCCACGGGGGAGACCGGGGAGGGGAUGGAGGAGCGGGGGCCGGGGACAAGGAGAGCUCCGGUGGGGAUCUGACCCACUGCGCUGGGCUCACAAGGAGUGAGUGAGUCUUGGGACCCUGUCACCUCCCCACGACUGGAAUCAGUGGCUUUAACCCACUGUGUCCUCCCCAAACCAGCACCGGUCUGAGCCCUGUGUGUCCCCCAGUGCUGAGCUCAGUCCAGCUCAGACCCCGAACCAGGGGAUGCCUGGGAGGAGUUGCCAUGGCAACACAUUUGCUGGUGCAGAGAGAGAGCCCUGCUGACCAGUGCCCAGCCCCCGGCUGACCCUGGAGGAGGGGGCAGGAACUGGCAGCAGCUCGGGGCUGGCGCUGGGGCACUUGGCUCUGGACGUGCCACCUCUGGCCGGAUCUCUUGGUUCUCCACGUGACCCCUGCGGGUGCAGUCCCUCUGGGAGAUGUCCUCUUCUGUUUUCCUUGGGCUCCUCCUUCUGCUGCUGGGCGGGUGAGGCUGGGAGCCCUGACUGACCCCUGGCUGAAGCUAUGUUCUAUGACCAGCCUGGGCUCAAGGGUGGGCUUGGGGUGGGGGAUGAAGGAAGGGUCAAAAGAACAAAGUCUGGAGCCAGACCACCUGGAUAGGACUGGCCCUGACACACGCUGGCUGUGUGAUUUUGAGUCAGUCACUGGACAUCUCUGGGUCUCACGUGCUCAUCUUCAAACAGGCAUUGAGCCCUCAGCACUUGGCUUCCUGAGUGAGGAUUAGAUGAGAUAAUACACGGGACUUCUUAGAACAGUACCUGGUACAGUGCCCAUGGACACUGCCUUCACCAACGUCUCCCCUUCCUGGGCAGAGAGGGACACAGUUCUGGCAUGGAGACUUUCAGAGAGUUCAGCCAAAUUGACAAAGAGUGUCAGGAUUGGAUAUUUGGAGAAUUAGAAAAAGGGGUGCUUUUUAAACAUAAUCUAUGCAAGGAAGGAGGCCCCCGGAGGUAGCAAGCCAUCUGACAGGCUCACCCCAGCCUUCCCGGACACCGGGCACACAGGGGCUGGGCCCAAACUCUCAUUUCCACGUCUGGAAAUGCCAUCCAUUGUAAAAGGCACCCUCCAUCUGUUUGGUCGGAGUAUUUCUAACAAAUAAAAGUGGGUGUUAUUCACGUAAUCAAAAUGUUAAAAAGAAAAAAGAGUUGAUCUUAAAAUUGGAGCAAUAAGUCAUCAAUAAGCGGUAAUCAAUGGUGUAAAUGACGAAGAGAUGAGCCAUUGCGGAGUGACGCGAUGGAGAACAGGUAGUCGCUCCCUCUGGCGGCCAGUGCUGCCCUCAGGCAGAGUGCAUCUAGGAAGGCUUCCGGUAAGAGGCGGCCUGCAGGAAGAAGUGCAGGGGGCGGGGUCUUGCUAAAUUAGGAGGCUCCUCCUCCCCCUAGGUGACUGGAGGUGACUCCACCCUCCUUUAACAGGCUCCAGGACAAGAGCAGACACAGGGCCCAGGCCUGGACAGUCUAGGACUGUGUGGGGCUUGAGACACAGGUGCUGGGGGCAAAGAGGCCUGGGCUCCAACCCCAGUGCUGCUGCUCCCUAGCUGGGCAACACCAGGCUGAUUACUUGGCCUCUCUGAGCAUCAGGUUCUUCUCCCAGGAAGUGGGGAGGACUCGGGGGCUCCGAGGUCAGGCGUGCAUGGAAUCAUGAAUUAGGAAGUGCUUCCUAAAUAUUAAAUACACAACAAUCGGGUUUCUCUUUGUUUUGAAGUUUGGAAAGUGACACACGAGGAAACCGAGGCACCGAGAGAGCAGCAGCCACUGGACCUCCAAAGAGAGGACACACAGCUGGGUGUCGCGGUUCUGCAGAGGCCCCGCACCCUGAGCUCGGGUGGCAUCUCACCAGUCCUUCGGAAGGAUGAGACUGUCUGUCCCCGGCGGGGGCUUCAGGGGGCACCCCUAAGGAAGGCCCCACAGCAGGGUUUCCAGCCCCCGCCCCUGGGCACCCCCUGGCCACCCCUGCGCAUGCGCCCUCCGCAGGGAGCCCCUCCUCCAGCAGGACCGGGCCUGGCCUCACCCACUUGCUCCGGGCCAGGGCCAAGAGUUAACGUGGGAAGGGAGCUGGAGAGCGAGAGGACACGUCCAAUCAAUCAUAUUUAAACAAAAGCCUCUCCCGCCCAAGGGCCCUUUUAAAAGCUGC
rnacentral:lncRNA from 1 species